rnacentral:tRNA from 1 species
AGCUACUUAAGUAUAAUAGUGUAUAGUUAUUUUCCAAAUAACAGGAUUAAAAUAGAUUUAAAAGUAGUA